rnacentral:pre_miRNA from 1 species
UUGUGGGUCUCUGUUUUAUGAACGUGUAUGCUGUGGGUUUCUGUUCUAUGAACGUGCAUGCUGUCCACGUUCAUAGAACAGAGACCCACAGCAUACACGUUCAUAAAACAGAGACCCACAGC